rnacentral:rRNA from 1 species
CCGGCGAAUUUAAGCAUAUUACUAACCGGAGGAAAAGAAACCAACAGGGACGUCCUCAGUAGCGGCGAGCGAAGCGGACGAUGCCCAAACCGAACCGCGGUUCCCGAGGGGGCCGCGGAGUGUGGAGAGGAUGAGCUCGCGAGGGGGCGGGACGGGUUCCAAUCCGUCUGGAAGGGCGGAGGCACGGAGGGCGAUUCCCCGUACGUGCUCGGUCCGUCCCCGACGAGCGAACGCAUCGGAGAGUCGGGCCGCUUGAGAGUGCAGCCCGAAUGGGGUGAUAGGUCUCAUCCAAGGCUAAGUACGUGGGAGACGCCGAUAGCGAACAAGUACGGCGACGGAAAGGUGAAAAGAACCUCGAAAGGGGGGUCAAAAGCGCUCGAAAUCGUAGAGGGGGAAGCGGACCUGACCGACGAGACCUCGUCGUCGCUCGCGCUCGACCACGCUCGUC